rnacentral:rRNA from 1 species
UACGGAGGGUGCGAGCGUUGUCCGGAAUCACUGGGCGUAAAGGGCGCGUAGGCGGCGCGAGCAGUCGGCGGUGAAAGCCCGGAGCUCAACUCCGGGUCGGCCGUCGAUACUCUCGUGCUUGAGCACUGUAGAGGCAGGUGGAAUUCCGGGUGUAGCGGUGGAAUGCGUAGAGAUCCGGAAGAACACCAACGGCGAAGGCAGCUCGCUAGGACGGUACUGACGCUGAGACGCGAAAAGCGUGGGGAGCGAACAGG